rnacentral:lncRNA from 1 species
CGGCCCCUCAUGGGACAGACUGUACGGCCCAGGCUCCUCCGGGCCUGGCCAGCGUGGUUAUUUAUAAGCCCUGGCUGCCUCCAGUGUGCCUGGAUCAGACUGGCUUGUUUGGGUCACCGGUGCCAAGUUUUUUCUUUCUUUUUCUUUUUUUCCAAUAAGAAUCUACGUCUGAGCAUGGACGGAAUCCCAGAAUCAAAUCACUGGAUCAAUACUUGGUCACCAAACACAUUCGAGACCUCAAAAGCUCAAAGGCUGUAGGGUAGGUACCCUUGCUACCUACUCUACCUACAGACAAAGACGCUGAGAAAUCAGAUAACUUGUCCAAGGUCAUGGACAGCUGGGACUAGACCCAUGGCUUGUCACACUCUACCAGCCUUAUUCUUAACCUCUCUGCCUGAUGCCUCUUGACCCACAUUCGACUUUGAAAAAGUUUUCGCACUUGGUUCAUCGGAAAAAGCCACACACAGCUGCCCGGAGGACUCUGUUAAUCAGUAGCUGGUUGCUUCUGGCCCAGUGGGCAACAUCAGAGGCAGAAAGUACAGUACAGAGAGAACCGCAGGCCAGCAGUUGCAUCUGAACCCACGCUCUUCCUCCCAGCCCUUUCCCUUGUCUUGACUCACAACCUAGUGUCCUCAGUAUCGCCCAGCACGUGAGGCAGCCGGUUCACUCCAGCCUUGACCAGGGCCAUCGCGGGAUCAGAGCCUCCUC